AUCCAGCUGACGAGUCACUAAUAAGACUAAAUGCUCGUCCUGGAU
rnacentral:hammerhead_ribozyme from 1 species